rnacentral:SRP_RNA from 1 species
GCCGGGCGUAGUGGAGCAUGCCUGUAGUCCCAGCUACUUGGGAGGCUGAGGCAGGAGAAUCGCUUGAACCCAGGAGGCGGAGGUUGCAGUGAGCCAAGAUUGCGCCACUGCACUCCAGCCUGGGUGACACAGUGAGACUCUGUCUCAA